rnacentral:rRNA from 1 species
AUUGCCUCAGUACGGCGAGUGAGCGGCAAAAGCUCAAAUUUGAAAUCCGCCGGCAAUUGGAAUUUGAAGAUUUUUGUCGUCCGGCCGGCUUGGGUUAAUUCCACUGGAAAGUGGCGCCUGAGAAGGGGGACAGCCCCAUGAACCCCUUCAACGCCGUCAUCCCAAAUCUCCAAUAGUCUAGUUGUUUGGGAAUGCAACUCUAAUUGGGUGGUAAAUUCCAUCUAAAGCUAAGGACCGGUCAGAGACCGAUAGCGAUUGGCGCGAUGAUGAUAAGAUAAAAAGCACUUUAGGAAGAGAUUAAAAAAGUUUGUGAAAGUGUGUAAAGGAAAGGGUUUGCUUGUAGAAAGGUAACUGGGCGACCUUCGGGGCGGUGGUUGGAAACACCCGGGGCGAAGGGGGCUCUCGCGGUGUAUAACCCCCACCUUUUUUUUUAUCGCGGGAUAAAGCCUGCAAUCAACGGAUGCUGGCGAGGUGUUUGCAUGUCCCCCGUUCUGUACAGGGAUUAGGGAUUCUAACAUCACGCGCGUGUAUGGGCGUGAAUCCCAUACGCCCAAUGAUAGUAUUGGAGCAAA